UGUGAACUCAAGACGGAAGAAUCCACUGAUGAACAUAACAACCUAGGAUCCAACCAUUUUCUAAGAGCCCCACCUCUGAAUAUAUGAAACUUAUAGGGGAGAUUCUAGAUCUAAACCAUCAGAGAUGUUAUGACACUCCUAAGCUGUUGGGAAGAACUUGCCUCCCAUGGUAGAACAUGAAAAUUCCAUAGGGGUACCUUCCAGCUUUUUAGUAGUUUUGCUUGUAAUCCUGAUAUAUGAGCCAAAUUAUGAUAAUUUCAGCCCAUUAGGAUUUUGCAUGCCCUGCUAAGGAUGCAAAAAAUCAGACACCAGAGAAAACCAUUUCAGUUAGGAUGAGUACAUUUGCCAUCUACAGCUUUUCUAGGCUGGCAAUGGUAGUGAUCCCAGUAGCAACUGCCUAGCGUCCAGUGACUGAGUUUAGAAUGUGAGUAUACACACAUGCUCCCUCUGGGAGAGGGCAGGAUUGCUAAGCACACCAGUUCUGUGUUGUGAUUUUGGCUAUGGUUCCUGACUAUUUACCAAAAUCUGGCCUCCCACUAUUUCAGAGAGCUGUUUAAUAACCAUUUGCAUAAAUUUGCCCUAUUUAGCUCUGUGACUAGGAACUCUAAUUAACACACUAAAUAAAUCAUAAUGUGCCUUUGGGACUGUUUACUUCUUUCUGAAAUUACCGUCUGGCCUGAUAUUUCAGUAAGUCAAUUUAACAUCAUAUAUAAAUUCAUCAAAUACUUUUUUGAUAGAAAUUAAAGAAACGAGAGUAGGAGUUCUUUGAAGUGGAAGUCAUAGGCCAUAGCGUCGGCCCAUUCUGAUUUUUCAGAUAGUGUUUCACGCUCAUUUAUUGUUUUCUAAUAGUAAAUUGAUUAAUGAUAUGACAAUGAACUUUUUCUUCCCUUUUGAAAAAUCCCUGUCUUUGAUAGAAGCUUGUUAAUCUCAGAAAGGAAGCAAUUAAUUUUUUAGAAGUGUUAAAGUAAAAUGCAAAUGAGAAGUGAUCUUUUCAAGGGGCGUGCAAUUUGGCAUUGUGGGCAAAAUAACACUUUCUAUGGGAAUUGCAGUGUUCAAGCUGAAGAGAUAAUAAAGGCAGUUUGAAAUGUUGUCUGGAAAGGGAAAGAGCUCCAGGGAGAAAGGCCUGAGACUCAGAACAUAUAAACUGAACAUUCAACUAUUUUCCAGGGGAGGGAAAAUGAAAACUUUUUUGAGAACAAAAUAAAGACUUCUUCAGACUAUUUCCUUCCGGAAGAUAUUGCAAAGCAUUUGACAUUCACAGACCUUUACGGAUAAUGUGAAAUAUUUUUUUCAGGUUACCAGCACAUAAAUAUAUUUCACACAUUUACCAAUGGAAAUAGUUCAGUAUCCUUGAGCUGGGACACAUUUAUUUGACAAUAUGUUAAAUUUGUUUUAAAACAUGUAAAUUGAAAAAGCAGAUUUACUUGUGCAGGUUUCACCAAUAAAAAACAAAACCUAAAAACAUGGAAUGAAUUGAAUUUUUUUUAUAACAACAAGAAAUUUAAGAGGUUAAUUCUCUUCAAGUAGUUUCAGAGUGUUACAUUCUACAUCAAGAUGUUCCUAAGCAGGGGAAAAACAAUAGUGUACUUUUCCAAUCACCUUAAAAAUCACUCUGACACUCUUGUGAUGAAGAGGCUUAAUGUGAAAAUGUCCAAUACUCUUUAACUAGCCUGAAAACAUCGGUAAGAAUUGAGUGCUUUCCCCUAUUUCUGCAUUUGAAACUUUUGCUGCACAGAUGAAUUUUCUGGUACUGUGACUGACAGGUGCUUCCUCAGAUGCAUGGUUGGUCUGGAUGGUGUUUGUCUCAGCACCACAGAGGACACUUUUUUACAUCUUUUUAGUAUUGGCUGUGCGCAUCACAAUUCUUCAUCACUUAUAUGAUGAUAUCCUUGGUGUGUACAUUGAUCAGUAUUUGCCUUUAAAAGCUUGUGAGCCAUCAUCUACAAGAACUGGAAAAUGAGCUAACCAAAUUUUGAUAUCCAGAAUGAUGUUGUUGUUUCUUAAUUUAUCCAUAUUGUCUUUGACUGAAAUUUAUUAUCUUUUGGGUACUGGACAUUGCAUUAGGUGAGAAGAAAUGAUGACGGUGAAUAAACAGAUUGGACUUUUGAACUGAUAGCUAGUGAGACAUACAAUAUUAAAAAUCAUACAAAAAUUAACAUAGGAAUUGUAAUAAAUCUUGGGAAAUUAUAUAAGGUAGGGAGAGACAACUGAACCCAUAUUCUGUGUGGCUGUGGCUUGCACAGGGGUACUUUGGUUCAUGAAGUUAAUUCUUUCCACUGUUCUCGUUCCAGAAUUCGUUCCAUGAUUCUGUUUGCGUAUGCUUGAAAUUCAUUUGGGACCAGAAUCAUGGAACAAUUUCUGUGACUAAAAUUGUGGAAAGAACUAAGUCUGUGAACUGAGGUGCCAUUGCAUUCCAGUCAUCCAAAUGACUGUCAAAUAUCCCUUUACUAAGAGAUGGUUUAACCAUUUUCAUCUCUCAACAAACCCUACUAUUAGCGCCCAUAAUAUGGAGGCUAAUUUGGUUCAAGUGAUGAAGAUGAGUUCUCUGAGGUGUAACUUCUGAGCUGAGAACAGAAGCAUGAAUUAUCUGUGUUCAAUAAAUAGGAGAAAGAAGACUACUUCAGGUAGAGGCAAGGUUUUGUGUUAAUGACACCAAGUUGUGGCACUACUUGCUGGUGUAGCUGGCUCUAAUUUGCCACUGGAGAUACAUGGUUGGCUCAUACUAUACAGUGUUUGUGCACCUGAGCAAAACUGUCAAAAUACAGCCCUUCAGUAUAAAUUUAAAGAGGAGACCUGGAAGAUAGCACAAGCAAAUAGAGAGCAAUGUUAAGAAAACAACAUUCACUAUGUAUUGGAGGCAACUUACUAUGUAAAGGAAGGCACCUUAUCCUGAGGAUCAGGAUGAUUACAUAAGAUAACAAAUGUGCUUAUAGAACAGAAAAAUAUAACACAGAAGCCAGUUUUUUCUGCCAUAGAGAAAGAUACAAAUCUUUAAGUGGGCACAAAGUUCACCUUAGUUUGAGACACAAGCUUGACAAGUAGGUUUUCAAGACAUGAUUUUAGACAAGUUAGUGAGCAGGUAUUCCUGUGGGAUCCCUGGGCUUUGGAGGUGCGGUGUACACCCCAUCUGAGUACUUAGUGCAAACAGCAGGCAGUGACAGGCUAGCUCUGAUUCUCAUUCACCGCCCAUGAGGGCUGAGUCCGUGGGCAUCAGGUCACCCACAUGCAGUGGCUAUGGGCAGAUGCAUCAUCCUCUUUUGGCACUGAUGAUGCCUUGGGGAAGAGAAUAGGAAAAACUACUAAAGUAUCCUCAAAGAAAUCCAGGUUAAGACAAGGAACUGUAGGCAAAGCAGUGUUUGGCUUUUUAAAACAAUAAUUUACAGUAGUCAAAAUUGAAACUAAAUUUAGUACAGCUAUGGAAAUUCAAGGAAGAUGAAAAUUUACAUGAACAUGUUGAUGAUUAAAAGAAGUCACAUGCUGAAAUAAAACCUUUGGAAGAGGGUUUUAGGAAAAUAAAUAUGUGCAGGCCAUAGAAUGGAAGGCCCAGAACUCAGGGAAAAUAGUAAUUAUUCCCUACUGAUGUGGAAUCCAUGGCAAUAAAACAUUAGCAGGACACUAGAUCCACAAAGAAUCCUGUGCUUCACAUAGGAGGCAACUAAUAAACACUAAGAGAAUGGAGGAACACAUGAGAGACGUUUUUAAUGUGAAGUGGCAUCAGUAAUCAUAUGCAACCAAUGAUUCUUGUUGUUCAAGAAAUACCUUAAAUGUGCAAGAAUAGUAUAACCACCAAUGAAACAAAUGAUUCCAUAAAGUAGAAGUGACAGAAAGGAAGCAAAACUUCCUUCAUGUGACUCCACAGAUGUAAUCAUUCAGUACUAAAUCACAAUAGUGCUUGACUUGUGUUCAUAUACAUAAUAAGUUACACAAAUAUGCAUAAGUGCACAUAUAAGAAAUUGGAUGGUAAAAUGUAUUUAAUACUAUAAAUUACAGAUCAAAUAUAAGCAAACCAGGGAUGCAGAUAAAGAAAAGUUUAUUCCAAUAUAGACAUAAUAGAUAUUCCAAAAGAAAGUUAAAUUAGCAAAAAUGUAUGAACUGUAGAAUAUUGAAUACUGAAAUGAUCAUAAUAAACAUUAAUAUCAAAAAUGCAAAAGUAUUACAGAUCAGUAUAUAGAUAAUAAUAGUUAUAAAACACUCCAAUAACUAUUCUGCAGAUCUGAAAUUGAUUCGGAGCACAAUGUAUAACUUAAAAAUUUAAUGUCAUGACAAGUAAUAAUAAAAAUAAUCAUCCAACAAGAAUUUUAAAAUAGUGUGAAAAGGUCUACAUACAGAAACACAAUGUGAAAAUCAAAGCACUAAUAAAAAUAGAAACAAGUAUUAAAAAGUGAAAAUACACACAAUUAAGAAUUCAAUGAGAAAUUAACCAUAGACAUGAAGAAUUUCAUGCAAAAUUUUCUAUUUCAAAUGCAAAAUUUUCUUUAAAACAGAAUAGCAUGUUUGAUUUUAGAUUAUAGUCUUUGAAAUAACAAAGAAGCAAACAUGCACAUAAAUAGUCCCACAUAUUAUCACAUGUGAUUUAUUUUAAGCACUCAUGCUUUUAAUGGUAUUUAAGUCAUUCUGGAAAACUUGAUAUAAAUAUGCAAUUGUGUGUUUGUAAUCAAGUUCAUUGCAGAAUUAUUUUCAAUAGGAAAAUUGGGAACACUAUAGUGGAUGACCUUUGAAAAAGCAUCAAUGAAACAAAGUAAGAUAUAUCUACAUCCUGGGUGCAGUGAGUGAUAGGAAGUUGAGGCAUCGUUCCAUGUGUGGCAUAAAGCAAAGUUCCCCAGAGAAAGUGAUACAGUGGUGCAUGCAUGAAUUGGGUGUGGAUAGAUGGUAGAAGUUACCCCCAUAGAGAAAGAAUUAGGAUAGGCAUCUAAGUAACUGUAGCAUGCGUAAGGUUGCAUAGGCAUAAUCCACGUAAGGCUGAUUAAAAGCCUUGUAUAUGGGUAGUUAGCCACAUAUGGGCAAAAGAAUGGAAGGAGAAACUAGAAGAUUUGGUUGGUAAAGGUAAUAUCUCAUAUCAACAUUCAUUUAGUCAUGUAUCACUUAACAAAUAAUUACUGUACAAUUAGUAAAGCCUGGAGUGUGAUAUAGUUAAAUUUACUUUUAAAAUUACCUAGAGAAAGUAUAGUUUCAGAACUUAACAACCAUAGACCAAAUAUCAUAUAUCCAAUGCCAAGAAUUAUACUGUGUUGUAGGAUGUUAUAUCAAUUUAUAUAAACACUAAAAUAUGUAUGUAUGCAUACAUGUAUUGCUAAUUUUCAUUUUCAAUUCCUAGAAAAAAACUAGUUAAAUUAUUAGCCAAGUGAGGCUCUUGGGAAAUAAUUCUUUGUUUCAUUUUCUUGGUUAUUUGAUGUUUCUACUUGUCUUAGUUACUUUCUUGUUACUGAGAUAAGAUAUUCAGUGCCCAUAAAUUAAAGGAGAGAUUUAUUUUAGCACACAGUUUGUGGAGGUUUCAAUCCACAGUUGGCUGCCUCCAAGGCAGGGUGGUAUGGUGGAGGAGAAACAGUCCAUGGCAGGGUAGGCAGAAAGCAAGGACCCAGACAGGUUACAGGCCUGUUAGUUGGUGCCACCCACACCAAGGAUGGAGCUUCUCUCUUCAGUAAUGCCUUUGCCCACAAAUUUGCUAGAUCAGUCAGUGAAUUAAACCAGUAUCACACCCAUGAUCCAGUAUCACACACCAAUGACCCAGUCACCCCCAAAAAGUCACCCCUCUGACCUCUUGAGGCUUUGGGGGGGAUGUUGAUAGAGGAAAAAAUAACACUACUUCAACCUUAGGAAUGAUUCUUAUCCAUGUCCCCUGUUAAUGUUAUGGAAUUUAUCUUUUUCAUUGAAAAUUUAAAAAUUGUUGUAAAUAAUCUACUGUUUCUGUGAUUUUCUAAACAUUCUCAUUUCUUAGUCAGCCUUCAUUAUUUUUUCUGUAAUUACUCACAGAGUACUUUGUAAAAGUUGAAGUCACAAAGGUCACACUGAAAUGAGCUUCCUCCAUAGAGAUGGUAGGAAACAGAGGCAGAUUUUAAGGUAAGGUAUGCAGGGGAAGGGGGUAUAUACAUCUGCAAAAUGAGUGUAACGUAUUAAAAAAGUACAUUUCUCAAAAUGCUCCACUGUGAUAACAUUGGCAGCAGCUUUACAAACUCCUCUACAGUUUUUCCAAAUUUCCCUUGGUUAACAGCUCCUGAAGAUUUACCAUACUGCCUAGAAUCAAUCAACACAUGUUUGUCUGCCAAAGAAAAAUCCUCCACAAUGCUCUACUCACUUGCAUUUGCCAGUCCACAUCUUCCUGUUACCCCCUGAUGACUUGUUUUAAACUCAGGAUCCAGGCAGCAGUAGGGAAUAGAAAUCAGAGCCACCCCAGAGACUUGCCAGGGAACCUCUUGUGAGAAAAGUUCUGUCUGUACUCAUUGGUCACCCCUCAUUCUCCAAUAAAGAAACUAGAUUCUAUUUGCUCGUUCAUUAAUCUGUAACAACUAUUUAAUAAAGCUUGGUUAUUUAUCUGGUAAUGAAACACAGACAUGAAUAAAUGCAGGUGUUGCUGUAGGUGUCUUAAAUAAUUAAGCUAGUUAAGCAGAUAGUGGCAAUAACAUAUGAUUUGUGGAAUGAGUGGCCAGGUGGGAGGAUCCUGCAAUCCCAGCAAUUCAAUGAAUCCUGUCUCAGGAUUUAAAAAAAAAUAAAAUGAUAAUGAGGACUGGGGACACAGCCCAGGGUGAAGACCAUAUACAGUGUGGGAAGGAGAAGAGGAGAAGACUUUUUCUGGAGGAUAUCGUGUAAAUUUUAUCAUGAACUAGAGUGGGAAUUAUCUAGAGGAAAUGGUGUAUGCCACCGAAUGAUACAGGGAGGAAGAGGUGUUUUCUCACUGGCAUAUACAGGUAUUAGAUGAGUUCAUUUAACUUUUUUUAACUUAAGCAUCUGAGUUUCUUAAAAUCAAUUCCUACAUCUGGAGUAAUUCAAGGUAAUUUAUACAUGGUAACGUAUAGUAGAAAAAUGAGCAUUUUGCCUUAGAAAGGUUUUCCUUUGGUUACAUAUUCAAAGAGCCAUUCAAGUGAUCAUGUAAUUUCCAUCCUUAAGACAGUUUAGAAGUGACUCUGUAGGCUCACAGAAAAGAAGAUGAAAGUAAAUAUUUAUUGGCACAAUUCAUUUUCUCUUAAGAUUUCAGUCGUGCUUUGGAUCAAAUAGAGCUAAAAGACUUCAAGGUUCCCAAGGCUAAAUAUCCUGAAGCUCUCACAUAAAUUCCAAUGCUAUCUUUCAUAUUAGAAUAUAUUAAAAGUGUCUUUGGUGAUCCAUAGGAAAUGAUUUUAUUCUUACGCAUUCAAUUUGAAAUAAAAUCUUCCUAGUACAACACAGACAUUCAUAAUUCACUUAAUGUUUGCUUUAUGCAUCUAAAAAGAAAAUAAAAAUUAAUGCAUGAUAGUGAAAAGAGUAUUUUCUUUUGAAGACCAUUUAUUUAUUUAUUAAAAAAUUGUUGUAGUGCUAGAUACUAAAAAUGCAGGUGAAUGAGACAGGUGUGAUUCUUGUCUCUGUAGGAUACAUUCUUGUGAAGGAAAUGAACAACAAUAAAUAAGCCAUUAACAAAUACAGGUUCUAAUAAAUGCUAUGAAACAAGUAAAUGGGAUUAUCUGAUCGGGCAUCACUUAGGGCUGCCAUGUUAGGUAGGGAGUAAAGAAAAUCUCCACACAACAAGUGAUCUUUAAUCGAAGGCUUGAAUUUUGGCUGUGUGAGUCAGUUUACAGGUAUGUAGAUUGAAGAUCAUAACUACCAUCUGAUAGGGCUCUUGACAACAUCAAAUGAUACCAUCAAUUACAGUGCCAUGUACAGUGCUUUUGUUAAGUAAAUAAAUAAUAAAUGUUAGGAUCAAAAUAGUUGCUUAUAGAAUACACCCCACCCCCCCUUGCCUCUUCUUUAGCAGAGGCUGAGCUUAUGCAAGUACCUCCGUACUCUGAAAAACAGUAUGGAAUUUCAAAUUCUCCUUCUUCCUAGAAUAUUAAGAUACUGAAAUCCAAUUAAGAAAUGCCCCAGUGCUUCUUUAAAAAUUGCAACUUAACUUGUAACAGCUCAUUGGAGUGCAGGAAGAGGGGGUACAUGGGGUGACAGGGCUGGGCACAGGAGGCCAGGGGCAGGCACCCUGUGGCUCUUCUUCUUCCUCUCCAUUUCACCCACUGCAUCUUACCCAUGCUGACCAGAGCUCUGGAGCUUACCUGCGGAAACAAAUCUCCCAAAGGCAGGUGACAGCCACAGAGAGCACAGGAGCAUAUUUAACCCUGGGAUUUCAUGAAGUUUGGGCUUUCUUGAGUAUGCUGAGGGUAAAAGUUGAAUUAAAUUUUUGAGAAAAACGAUGACCAAUAAUAUUUUUGGCCGUUAUGCUCCUUUUGUGCAAGCCUCCAUCCAUGCUGUGGCAAAAACUAUAAAAUCAGUUAAAAUCCACAUAACAGCUUACAUAUGAUAAAGUAUAGUCUAGUACAUUAUCCAAGAGGAAUCUGGUAAGAAUACAUCAGAGUUUUAUUGUUAGCCAGUAUUUUCAAAAUAAACAAAAUGCUACUUUGAGGUAUCAGGUGAUUUUCUCAAUAACACUCAGGUGUUAUUGACUUGAGGGAGUUGAAUUCCCAUUUCUUUUUAAAAUUUUAUUGAGAGAUAACAUACGGGCUGUCAUGUUAUCCUCAGAAGAGAGGUGGAGGGGCUGGGGAUUUAGCUCAGCGGCAUAAGCACCUGCUUUGUAAGCAGGCAGUCGUGAGUUCGAUCCCCGGUACCGAUAAAAAAAGAAAAAGACAAAAAAAAAAAAAAAAAAAAAAAAAAAAAAAAAAAAGAAGAGAGGUGGAAACCAAGCUCGGUCCUGCUGAUUGUCUGCCUCUGCAAAAGAGGUUGCAGCACGCGACAGGCAGCCUGCUAGAUGGGUUAUGGUUAAUUCUCCAUUCACCUCUCUUCUACAUCAACUCUUUCCCUUUGUAUCUUGGCUGCUAGGGAGUCCUGAAUACAUUUUAAAUUUCUUCCUGACUGUGGUUAUCACCUCGUUUCUUCAUGCAUUUUCUUUUUUCUUUUUUAUUGAUGUUUUAACUUUCCUGUGGGUAUUUUGUCAUUACAUUGAUAUUUACACCUCCAACUGUUUCCAAAACUAUAUGCAUACUUGCAUCUUCGUGGGAAGCCUCCUUUAGUCUAGGAGGGAAGCUGGUAGGACAUAAAUCAUAAGUCUACCCAGCUACUCAGAGCAAUUGAGAGGCUUGCAAUUCGAGAAAGACUUAUUGGGCAUUACAAAGCAAAGCCGAAGUUUUAAAGCACAUUAACCUGCAUAAAAACACAGAUCUAAGUGAGCUUGACUUUGUAGCCAUAACUUUAUUUAGAGCUCACUUAUUUUACUCAGUUUUUUAAUUUUCAGACCUAAAUAAAAUGACUCCUUUGUGGGGCCUCCGGUUACAUCCAAUAGGGCCACACUGAGACUGAGCUUCUGUUAUACACAGAAAAAACAUAAGAAAGUUCCACUUAUAAAAAUACUCAGAUGAUGCAAGAAUAAUUCACUUGACAAAGCCUAACUGAACUGUGUACAAAUUGUCCAUUGCUUUGGACUGAUAUAUUUUUAGGUUUAGAUGGGAAACAUCUCACUGUGUUUUAAGAUAACUAUAGCUGUGCACAUCAAGAAUGACAGUAAAGAUUUCUCUCUUCACACAUAAAUAGCAAAGAUGCUGGGUUCCUUAUAUUGAAGUGAAGGUUUAAAAGGAUCCUUGAAUUUUCCAACUCUAGGGGUAUAUGUAUUUGCAUGUGUGUGUGUGUGUGUGUGUGCACAUGCACAUGUAUGCAGUUGUGUGUGUAUCUGUGAUAGUUUUCAAAACUGCACUUGUACUGACUCUUGCCAGUGGGAUAAUCACUAGAUAAAUCUGCUUCAUGAAAAGAUCUUACAGAGCAGGGGUUCCCUAAUAUUCUGGUUCCCGGUAGAGGGGCUCUUUGUUUAUUCAUUUCCCUCUACUCUACUGCAGUACUACUGCAAAUGAGGAGUUAAAUGUCAUCGUAUGCUCAUAUUUCCUUAGUUUUUUAUUAAUUUAACACAAAUUGUGGUUGAAUGUUCAUCUCUCGACAACAUUCUUAAGGUUAUACUAUAAUGUACCAUCUACACUGUGAUACUGUAACACUUCUGAAAGCAGUAUUAUUAACACUCAGUCCCUGUAAGUCUUGGCUACUUUUCUUUCAUUGCUGAGAUAAAAUACCUGAUCCCAAAAAGAAGGAAGGAAAGGUGUAUUUAGCUUACAGUUUGUGGAGGUUUCAGUCCAUAAUUAGCUGGCUAGAAGGCAGAAUGACAUGGCAUUGGGGCAACACUUCAUGGCAGCAGCAAAAGCAAUGGAGGGGAAGGAAAGAGUAAGACACUUUUCCCACCCGGCAUAUUGAACACAAGCCUCCCAAGAGCAGAGUGUAGCACUCAUAAAAUCUCUGUGCCCUCCUCUUGCACAGGAUGAAGAUAUUUACAAAGUAAGUAUCCUGGCUCCCUGCUGAGGCUCUCAGUUAAAUGUCUAAACUUCUCAAGUUGACACAAUAUAUCAAUCAUUACACUGUGUUUUGGGUAAGGUGGUUUAGUCACUCUCUUCAGGGUCACACUGACAUAAAAGGGAAGAGGUGAAGCCUGUUUACCUUGGAUAAAUGUCUCCACAUUGUGAAGUUGAGUUCUUUGAGUUGCACCAUGGGAAUAAGAUAUUCAGCUAUUUAGAAUCUCAGAAUCCACUUUUCCAUGUAAGCAUUUUCUCUUAAAAAUUUGCUCACUAAAAUGAUUUUGGAAUCUCAUGGGAUCAUUGGGAAAGUUAGGCAACUAGCACCAAUGACAUUUCCCUGAUCUAAGUGAACAAAACCAAAGCUGAGUCCCAGGUGUCACUUGGUGAAGAAACAGCUCCUCCCUAACAUGACUGUUUUCAGUGCUGUUCCCAGGAACUGGCAGUCUCAAUAAGAAACUUCCUCUUUCAUUAUUGCUCCAAACUGAAUUACAGUUUUUGUGGCUUUUGGUCACUGGGUCACCUGCUCAUGUUUGAGUUGGAAAAGCAACAAGGAAGAGACUGGAUGACUGUUUCUUUCACGAAAAUGUCUCCCAUUAAUGCAAAGAUGUUUGUAAUUGUUGUGGGGUGGACAGGAAAUGAAGAAAAUAUUCAUAAGAUAGAAUAAGGAUGUGUGCGUGAUCUGUGGCACAGAGUUACUCUCGUGAUCCAGUUAAGCAAUGGGAAAGUCCACCAUAAGUGUUAAAAUGCGUGAUUCAUCGCUAUUCUGUUUUGGCAUAACCUCGGUUGUAUGUAAUCCUUUAUAGAUCACCUACCAUUAUUGCAUUAUUAGUUCAGGGACGACAAACACAGCUAAUAAAAUAUUCCAACUACUAAUUUAAUAGUGUGACACACAGAGAGCUUCAGAAAAUGUUCAUUAAAUAGAUACAGAUGGCUAAAUAAGAAUGUUCUUCCAACUUCCCACAGGGAAGGAAAGGGGUCACCUUCAUUGUGAGAUGUGACUAUUUUAUGGAUUAAGCAUUAGAUCAGAUUCAGGAACGAUGUUUGCACACCCAGAAAACCAGUGCUCGUAGAGGUUGCUCCUACCCCCAUAUAUUUCCAUGCUCAUGUGGGCAGUUUAGUGCCCACUCCCAGAAUGAUUUGGGCCACUUCUUAAAAUGUGCAUGUUAAGAGUCGGAAGCAUCAUGCCACUCGAUGAGUAAGGAUUAUGCCUGGUUGUUACAACCUCCACUUUCUUUGUGCACUUCUACUAAUUCUGCAUGCUCUGACUCUAAGGGAAAAGCACAUAAACUAUGACCCUGUCAUUUGGGGUCCAUGUGACAUGGCCACCUGGUGUCCUCUCCUAUGGCCCUCUUUGAAGAUAAAGGCACAAAAUGAAGAUUAACGCAGGCUCAGUCCUUGGAUCCUGUAAGUGAUCUGAAUUUAUAUCCUUUGUGGGAAAUUGAAUUAACAUUUUCAGCUCUUCUUUCCCCCUGAGAAAACAAAGAGUUUAGGUGACUUGUUCUGCUUUAUCCUGCGGCUAAGAGCUAAGCCAGAGCACAGUGUGUGUCCUCCAAAUGUCGUUAGAAGAUGUGAACCAGGGUAGCAUCUGUUCUGUUCAUGCUAUUGGGUAAAUCCACAUUUCUGAAUGUGAGGUUAGAGACCCAGCAGUCAGAUAUUAGUUCAAGUAAGGACAGGUACCCAAAUUGCUCAUGAAACUGAAGUAAUUUGUGGUCUGUGGUACAUUGGCAGAGAAAGUCCCCAAGUUAUUACAGUUCUCUUUAAGAAUGCCGAGUAUCAUUUUCUUGUGACAACACCCUUAAACAAGAUGAAUGGAGGAAACUUGUCCUAAUUAUGGGUGUUGUGUUGCUAAGGUUCCCAGGAUUGAGGUUUUAGGACCAUCCAUAAGUAAUUUCUGGUAGAGAAAAAUCACUUUUAGACUAAGAAAAUACCUUGAAAGCCUUUCUACUAAAAGUCUCAUCUUUGAAUUUGUCUCUAGGUGCCUAUGUGGUUAGGAAAGGGGCCAAAGAAUGAGAGGCAAGCGUGAAGCGAGUGAGGCGAGUGUGCACCCACAAGCAAAGAACCUCCAGGGUCCAUGCGAAAAUGUCCUUUAAACUAAGGGAAGCUCACACUGGCUCUGAGUUUGUGUGCCUGUGCUUACAAGUGUAUAUAUCAGCAGCUGCAUUUGGAAUGAAGACAGGAAACACAAAAAAGAAAGCCCUGGAGACAAAAGUACUUGCAAUCGAGGUUCAAGAUAGAUGUAAGAUGUGGCUACUUCGGUACCAUUAAAGUGUUAUCUUUGCUACGUUACAAACAGUCACACGGGAAUUCAGCCACUUAUUGCUUAUUUUCCUAAUUAGUGAUCUCAAUUAGUGGAGUUCCAUUUCCCCAGUUUAAGUGCUGUGCUGUGUUGGAGGUUUCCCUGAGCCUGGCCAUCCUGUAGCAUAAGGAGCCCCACUAGCAGUUGGCAUGGAGAGGCAUAAAGGGAGUUGGAGACACCAACUGUGUUCUACUUGGGAAGCUGAUGGGCUCCCAGGCUCACUGCAAAACCAACAAAGCUGUUCUACCUUGGUCUGUUUCUUAGGAUCCCUAGCUAAGGGGAAGGUGAGGAAAGAGAAACACCAGAACUGGAGAGUGCCCUAACGCCACAAUUGACUAGGUAAUAUUUAAAGCAAUAUUUAGGACAACAGGCUAGCGAUGGACCCAUACUGGUCCUCUACUUUGUAACUAACACUUUAUUAGAACUAUAGCCAGGAGAACAGUUUGAAGCCAGUCUGGACCACAUAGAGAGUUCAGGGCCAGCCGGAACUAAAAUACAACACCCUGUAUCAAAAAGACAAGCACACAACAAUCAAAACAAAAUAAAAUGUUGCUUUAAUACC